GUGCUUGCUUUAGCAGCACAUAUACUAAAAUUGGAACGAUACAGAGAAGAUUAGCGUGGCCCCUGUACAAGGAUGACACACAAAUUCAUGAAGCGUUCCAAAUUUAA
ensembl:snRNA U6 U6 spliceosomal RNA